rnacentral:rRNA from 1 species
GACAGAGGGGGCGAGCGUUAAUCGGAAUUACUGGGCGUAAAGCGUGCGCAGGCGGUCUGCUAAGACAGGUGUGAAAUCCCUGGGCUCAACCUAGGAAUUGCGCUUGUGACUGGCAGGCUAGAGUACGGUAGAGGGGGGUGGAAUUCCUGGUGUAGCAGUGAAAUGCGUAGAGAUCAGGAGGAACACCGAUGGCGAAGGCAGCCCCCUGGGCCUGUACUGACGCUCAGGCACGAAAGCGUGGGGAGCAAACAGG